CUGCUCUCCCUGUGUCUCUGUCAAAUAAAUAAAUAAAAUCUUUAAGAAAUUCUAUAAUACCAAAGUUAGUGUGUUGCAUAUAAAACUUAUUUUCUAUCACUAGGGAGUAAAUCUGUUGCUACCUUGUCACAUUUUAAUUUCUCACUUACUGGAAUUCUUAAUGUCCCAUUUAUAAAUAUUGUAAAGUAGUUUAAAGUACCUAAAACAUGAGGCAUUCGGUAACAUUCUUAAUGGCAGAGUUCAUUUUUCUCUAGAUUUUAGAAGAAAGUCUAGAAGUUUUCUACGGUCACUUAAGAACUAGAAAUCCACUUGAAAUAGGAAUUUUCAUCUUUAAAGAGCAAGUUUGGGUGAAGAGGGAACAUUACGCACUGGAGAUUAAGCCCAGUUUGAAGAAAUGUGAUGGGCAGAUACUCAAUUAGAUAGUUCGGACUGGAGCGUAGGAUAAGCUUUGUUUUUAGUUUGAAGGGUUUUGGAGGUUUUUCUAAGUGUCAUUCCAGAAACGGAAUAUUGAAUGAUAAUUGGAAGUAAUGAACAGUAUGAGAAAAUCUCCUUAAAGAUUACUGCGGUGAUUUGAUAAUAGGUAGUAAUUGGUAAAUUAAUAGUAUUUGGGUGAUAACCAUCCGAUUUUUGGCUUUAGAUAGCUGGCAAAUCUCUCAACGCUGGUGCAUUUGAUAAAACAACUGAAUCUUGACCAUUUGAACUUAGUUCUCUGAAUAGGCUUUUUUCUUAUGAAAGGGGAAUUCGUCGGGCAGCUUGGAAUUGUGGCAAAAAGCAGAGGACAACCUGGUCGGCAAACCCUGCUGAGCGAGAUGCAUACCGUAGCAGCCAUAGGCAGGAAAUGACUGCAGCUGAAGAGAUUGGCAUUUUCUAAGGCAUCUUGAGACGUCAUGAUUGUAACAGAGUCGAAUGAUCGAUUGUCUAGCUCUUGUGUUUGCGUCUGGUUUCACAAAUCUCCACCUCAUUCAGGAACAGAAAAUACAAGACCGCUCCAGGUCGGUGGCCGAUGGCAGUGUGAAAAAGCAAACUUCUAAAACUUCCAGUAGGAAGAAGACAGGUCGUGAUUUUUUUUCUGCUCCUGACCCUGCUCCUGGCCUGGCCCUGCCCAGAAUGAGGCUUGGACCCCUUCAGGCUCGCCCUCCAGCCUCCCGCAACUGCUGGGGAACCCCCCCCCCCCACCCAGUCUAGGAUCCUGGAAUUUCGGAAACAGGCCUACUCCAAGGGGAGAGAAAGGUUUUUAUCCAGAACCCUGGCACUGGUUCCCAUGAUGUCCCCCACCUCCAGGCAGGACACCACCCCUCCCUCUCUGGACUGGUCCCAAGACACUGAGAGGAGCCAGGGACACCUCUCCUGGGGAGCCGGCAACCUGCAGGACCUGAGCCAGAAAAGAGUGUUGCUUGUUGCUCGGGGGUGAGCUCCUUCUGUGCACAAGGAAAUUCACUCCAUGGGGCAUCUGACCUCGGCCCUCCCCACUCUCCCUGCCCCUCCCCUGCAAUCCCAGCACUUGCAGGCUUGGGUGGGUGGGCCUGGGCCUGGGAAGCUGGGUGGAGUUCUGAGGCCUUCUGGCCGGUGGUGGUCCAUGCCUCUGUGUCUCCACUUCCUACCCCCUGCAGGCACAGGCUAAUGUGGGAUGAAGGGCUCGGGGGCACCCCUUAGCUUAGGGGCCGGCUCCCUCCCCAAACUUGCAAACCCACUGGCCGGGCUGGACCUCAUCAGCACCUUCUCCUUGGCUCCACUCCUUAAGGGGAAACUGAGGCAGGGACUAUGAGCUGUUGUCCACAGGCCUCCCGGGUCUAUCAGGAUCCAGAGUUCUCAUCUGGGCCCGCUGCCUUCCAGGGGGCCGGUGUCCCUGCCUGCCACUGACGAUAACCUCACUGGUCCUUGCAAGGAUUCCAGAAGACCCCAAGGGGGGCCCCCUGCCCCUGCAGGAACAGUUUGAGGGUCACUCCAACUGCAUCCCAGAUGCAGGGGGCUCAGCUCACGGCCCAGCGGCUGGGGAGGGGGCAUGGAAGCCCCCCAGAGCGGCGAGAGCCAGGAAGGCUGCUGGGUACCCCACGCUCAGCUUUCUAGAGAACCGACCUGGUUUUUAAGAGCAAAUACGCAACAGCACAAAAGCACACCCAGUUCCAGCAGCCCACGGAGGGAGGGGCUCCUCCUUCUCCAGCACCCCUGCAGGGGUGAGUGGAGCGCUUCUCGGGAAUGUGCGCUCUUCCGUGCCUACCCCGCGGCUCACACGCCUGGCCCUUCCCCCACGCAGGGCCCUGGUCCCCAAACCAGGAGGAAACACAGUGCCGUCAGCUUUACGUUAACAGUAUUCAUGGAAGGGAAAACCUGCACAUUGUAACUUCAAAACGGAGGCAAUUUUAUGAUUCCCCAAAUUGAUAAAAGCUUUAAGUCACUCCACAAAUGAACAGAGAAAAUACUUCCUUUUUACUCAUUUGAAAGCAAGAUCUCCGUGUUGGCCGGUAAGUAAGUCCCUCUGGACAAGGGGCGCAGGCGUGCGGAUGCGCUGCGGGCACAGCAAGACGGUCAGAGGGACACUCCGACUCCACCUGCAGGCACAGCUGGGCGACCGCGUCCUCCAAGCCACAGGGAGCUGACUGUCCUUCACCUUGUUCAGCAGGAAGCUCGUGUCCACACCCCCUGCAGCGUGGGGCCAGCUCUGUCCCCGUCCCUGCAGCGGACUCCCUGCCCCUCCCAUGCCUCCCCCAGCCGCGCCUCUGGCCUGCGCACCAGAGUGGAAGACACUCCGUUUGCCUUUUAAUGGAAAACUUGAAAUAAAAGUGACAGAACAUUGA